UCAUCAGGCUUAUUAACAGUUGGGUUUUUAAUGUGUGUAUUUUUGUGUGUGAAGGGUGACCGUGGAUUACAAGGACCUCCUGGGCCACCAGGGCAGGUUGGCGAAGUGUCAGGCUUACCUGAUACAGUCAUUCAACAAGGAGAAAAGGGUGAUCGCGGCUCACCUGGAGAUCCUGGUUUUCCAGGUCCCCCUGGCCCCCCCGGUCCACAAGGGGGCCAGAAAGGUGAGAAAGGAGAACAUGGGGAGCUUGGAAAGAGGGUGAGUUGAAGCCUAUUGAAACCCCGACUCAGUUCAGCAUUUUAUAACAUUUAUGCUGUGAUAUAUUUAUUUUCAUUAGGGAAAACCUGGCAAAGAUGGUGAACAAGGCCUCCCUGGAUAUCCGGUAAGCUGUCUACAACAGAUGUUUAGUAAAGUUUAUCAAACAGGUGAUAUUCUUUAAUACUGUUGUGACAUCUCUUUUUUAGGGUGAUAAAGGAGAACCAGGUCCUCCUGGUCUGUCGGGGCGAG
rnacentral:lncRNA from 1 species